rnacentral:misc_RNA from 1 species
CGCACAUUGCGCCCUUUGGUAUUCCGAAGGGCAUGCCUGUUCGAGCGUCAUUAUCACCUCUCAAACUCUCUUUGUUUGUAGUUGGGACAUAGCUUGGAUUUCCAAGCUAGUCUUCGAAGAUAAUGAUGGUGUCGUUGAGAUUCUCGGUACAAUGAGCUUUCAUUAGCACGUACUAGAACGAUUUCAAUGACCUGUCUAUAACGACCAAUUUCUAUGGUUGACCUCGGAUCAGGUAGGAAUACCCGCUGAACUUAA